GAAUUUCAAACUUCUCUUUACUCCUGAGGGAAUUCUGUGCCAUUGCGCAUGCUCAGAAUUUACAUCCCCCGCAGAUUUCUGUGUUUCCCCACAGAAAAAUGA